ensembl:lncRNA
GAAUCAUUCAGACACCAUUUCACGGAGAUGGAAGCCCCAGGGAAUGGCAAAGCAGAGUUGACCCCUGUGACUACUCUCCAUGUCUGCAUGUGUGGGGUCAAAGAAGAAUCCAGCCUUUUUGUGCCUGAUUUAUCUCAUCUCAGGGUAGCAUAAGGUCAUCCAGGGUCAUCUUUGUCAAGGAGGAGAUGGCUUUGUCAUCUUUUAUGCCUGGUCUUUGUGUGUGUUGCCAGUCUUUGGUAGUUUCUGUGUGUUUUUCCUGUGUGUCCUCACUGCACUGCAGGCAGGUAUUAUUAACAUUAGAGGGGAAAUGAGACUCAGAGAGGGAGGUAAAGGCUCUGAAUAGAUGUUAUCAUAGCUCCCUUUUGGGUACCAUUUAUUUGCUGAGUACCCAGUUAGGCUGAUACAUUUCUAGAUGUCAUAGGACACCGAGCUGAAUCUGGUACAUGGGCAGGAUGGGUGUGAUGCUUUUUCCUGCUCAUAUCUGUGGGCUGUUUUCACACUGGGUGGGCAGGGUAGAACCAGUUGAGCUGUAACAACUUGGCGCAGUCCCAGCACUGCCAUGGGGGAUUGUCUUAGUUACAUUUCUAUUUCUGUGAAGAGACACCAUAACCAAGGAAACGCUUCUAAAGAAAGGAUUUAACUGGGGGCUUGCUUACAGUUUUUGGGGGGGUUAGUCUGUGAUUAUCAUGGCAGGAAGCAGACAGGUAUGGCCCUGGAGCAGUAACUAAGGGCUUUACAUUCUGAUCCACAGGCAGCAGGAAGAGAGACACACUAGGCAUGACUUGGGCUUUUGAAAUCUCAAAGCCCACCCCCAGUGACACAGUUCCUCCAACAAGGUCACACCUACUCUUACAGGGCCAUUCCUCCUAAUCCUUCUCAAACAAUUCCACUAACUGGGGACCAAGCAUUCAUACAUAUGAGCCUACAGGGACCAGUCUCAUUCAAAUCACCACAGGGAUUGAGGGCAUGACUUGUAGCUUCUAUCAGUAGUGAUGCAAGUUUUGAUGGCUUAGACCCCAAGAGCAUCUGUACCAGUGGUCAGUAGGUGCUCAGAGGUUCCCAUUCCAUCUCUCAGGUAGGGUUCUCUCUCUCUCUCUCUCUCUCUCUCUCUGGACAGUCUUGAACUUGCCCUUGAGCUCAAGCUCCCUAAAUUUCAGGCGGCUUGGGGCCUGGCUCCCUAAUCAAUCUUGGAUUUGACAUUCAUCUUCUUCACUUUGACCCUUUCCUUUUGGCUGCUAAUCUAAAGCCCCCACUCAAGAAGGGCUGGGCAAAGUCUAGCAGUGAACGGAAUUCAUUCAUGGUUGUUGUAAAGGACCAGAGGGGACAGCAACCACUGAGUUCUGUGGUACUGAAGUGAUAUGUUCAUGAGUGGCUCUCAAACAGUCCUUCUCAUUAGGGUAAUAAAAGACAGGGUUUUGUAGCCAUUUGUCAGUUAUGAUAGUGGUGUUAUCAAGGCCCCAAGGUUGUCUCUGAGCACCUUGCAAUUUCUGUUGCUGAAAUGUCUCCUGGAUAAUGCCUUUUCUGUCUUUGUAUUUUAUUAGCCUGAGGAAUCCAGUCCCUUCCCCUUCCCCUCCCUAGUUUCCAACCUCAGAAAACUCUUGGAUAUCAGAAGAGGAGUCACUCUGGAUCUCUUCUUUAGACCUCACCAUUUAGUCUUUAUUUUAGGCAGUUUAUUUCCAUUAUACAUAUAUGUAAUAUACAUGCAAAGACUGUAAAAUCUGACUUUAUAAGAACAGAUAAUGGUUUGAUGUCUUAAGAUGGAAGAAUGAGAAUUAAGAAAUGCAAUAUUCUGAUGUUACAGUUUUCAUAUAGGGAAAUGGUGGCAAAGGAAGGGGAGAUGUGUCAGGCGUUGGUGGCACACACCUUUAAUCCCAGCACUUGGGAGGCAGAAGCAGGCAGAUCUCUCUGAGUUUGAGGCCAGCCUGGUUUACAGAGUGAGUUCCAGGACAGGCUCCAAAGCUACAGAGAAACACUGUCUUGAAAAAAGCCAAAAAUUUAGAAAGAAAAGAAGAAAGGUAGGGGAAAUGUGUGAUUCAAGACUCCCCCAGCUGGUAAGUGGAUCCAAUGCCAGAUCCUCCUUAGCCCAUUAGCUCCUCCAUUUUCUGCCACUUCGUAGUUUACUAUUGGCUGCAAUCCCUCUGUAUUAACUGUUGCCAUCAUUUUUAAUAUGGACUGUGUCACUUCUCCCAAAAUCUUAGGGCCAGGCACGUUUCAGAUUUCAGUUUCUUUUUCAGAUUUUUAGUAUUUCCGUAUGCAUAAUGAGACACUUUGCAAUUGUGACACAAGUCUAAGUAUCAGUUGGUUGAUAUAUAUAUAUAUAUAUAUAUAUAUAUAUAUAUAUGAUAAAAUAUUUCUUAGUGUGACCUGUCAUUGUAAGGUCAACUGUAAUACUUUUCACUAGUGAUAUUAUGUUGGUUGGUAAUCAAAAAGUUUUGGAGUUCAGCAUAUUUUGCAUUACAUAUUUUUGGAUUAGGGAUAUUCAACUAAUCAUUAGUAACCCCUCAUCCUAAGAGAAUAUAUCAAGAUACAAAGGGGAUACCCCAAACUGCAGAUCAUACUGAGCCCUGGAUAGACACACUGUGGUACUUCAGCUGCUGAUCUGAUAAAGAGAUGACUAAUGGGUGACUAGCAGACCCUGCAUGGAUAUGCUGGACAAAAGGAUCAUUCACAUUCCAGAUGAGACACAGCUGGACGGCGCAAGAUCUCAUCCUGGAACCAAGAACGCAAGAAAAUGGAAGAACAAAAACAGACUACUGAGUAAGGAAAGGAGGAUUGAAAAAGAGCUCGUUGGUGUUCUUGGUAGUGGGACAACAGAUUUAUUCAAGGUUGCCUGGCUUUGAAGUAACAGUACCAGAAUAAACCACCUGUUUUUAGUUGCUGACUAAACAUAUGGAGCUUAACCUGUUCCUGAUAAUUUGAUGUUUGUUGGCUGCAGAAAGCAUCUCUGAUGUGUGGGUUAUGAUCAUAACAGAAGAUAAAGACUAGUCCAAACACCUCUCUCCAGCUCACAGAUAUCUCCAAACCUCAUUCCUUUGGGGUUCUCCUGCAUACCACUAGGCAGGCAUGAUGGGUUAGUCUCAGUGACACCUUUUAAAAAUUUAAAUAACUUUCUUUUUAUUUAGUUUGCAUGCCAACUGAAGUUUCCCCUCCCUCUUCUCCUCCCAGUUCCCGCCCCUCUUCCCAUCUACUCCCUCCCCCUCCACUUGUCCUCCAUCUCCAUUCAGAAAGGGGAAGGCCUCCCAUGGGCUUGAACAAAGCAGGCUCAGUGACACAGUGAUUUGAUGAUUGGUGACCAUGAUGAUUAAUACUGGCUAUCAAGUUGACUAGAUCCGGACUGAACUAAGAACAUCCGGAUGUUGAAAGACACACCCUCAAUGGUCAUAUACUUAUUGCGCCUGCUGCCACCAUCCUUCACUAGCAUCAGAGCCUGGCCAUGUUGACUUUCCAACAUGAACUGAAGACCCGUGGCUCUCCAGGAGUCAGACAGGCCCUUGGUGCCAGGUUUGGACUGCUGUGGCACCCAGCUUAGUGGAAUGAGAGCAUCUAUUGAUUCUUGUCCCCUCCAAUGAGAAGAUAGCCAUUGUUGCCUCAUGUCUUGCAUGAAAAUGUCCUUAUGCAGCACAGUGCCAUGUGUAAUGAAUAAAUACAAUGAAAAAAUUUUAAAAAAUGACGAAGAAUUUCAAGGUGGUAGCCACAGAACAUCAACCCCUAAAUAUGGGGUCCUACCUGACUGCAUUUUUACAUAUCUAUGAAGCCCUGCCUUAUCAUGGCACAGAGACAUGUGGCCUUCAGCUCUCCUUUCCAACUUCAUUUCCUUAUCGGCAGCUGGUGGGUUCUGGCUGCAUCAGAGCCAGUCUGAGUCCCUUUGGUGAGCAGAGCUGACUGAGGGCUCAGAGGUCUGGCAGGAUCUCCAGGUCACAGACACUCCCAUUCCCAUUUCUCCAUUUCCUUUGACGAAGAAUGACCAACAGCUCAAAGGACAUUUCAGUUGGUGGGUCAGUCUCGAAGGACCACUGUUUAGAGUACAUUGGGUACCUCAAAAGUGAUGGUGAUCUCCUCCUCACCUUUCUUUGCCUUCAGGAAAGUGGUUCUGCACUGCAGGGUGAGGCUCCAAGAAGUCACAGCCAUGGCAGAUGCUCCAUGACAUUUGAACAGUACCUCAGAUUGUCUAUGAGGAAAUACCCAGGUCUUCACAGUUUCUCAGGUCGCAAACCAUCACCACACACAGCUCAAGCCAUGCAGCUCAAGCCACACAGCUGUGAUGCCACCCUUCCUGAGACACUAUGAGUAUCCCCUUUGUUGGGUGAAGAAAAAAUGACCCAGAGAAGUGAGAGGGCCUUCUUGGUGAAACACAGUUAGACCUUCGCACAUGUGCAGUGGUGUGAUUGUGUGUGUGUGAUGCCCAUAGACACAAACAAACACAUCAAUGAAUAUAUGAAUAAAUAAGUCCAUUAGUUAAUGAGUGAAUUAAAAGCUGGAUAUGACAAGGUAAACAUACAAUCCCAAAGCUUAGGAAGCAGAAGUAGGAGCCAUCAUGUUUGAUGGCUCUAUAGUCAAGCUGAAUCUGCAAUUCGUGUCUCAAAAAAAAAAAACAAAAAACAAAAACCGAAAAACCAACAACAACAACAACAGGGAAGAUGGGAUGCACUGAACAUGAUCAAAGUACACUAUGUGCAUGCAUGACAUGGUCAAAGAAUAAAUAAAAAACAUUAAAAAAACAAAACCAAGUUGGAUGGCACACACGGUUGACUUUUUUGCCUCCACAGGCACUCACACACACAGCCACAGACACGCAGACAUGAAUCUUAAGUGUGUUCUCAGUACAGUGGCUUGACCAUCUCCAUUAUUCAUAAAAGCUGUCAAUACCCAGAAACCCUCACCUUCCUGUUGUGAUGCCUGAACAGAAUCAGAAAACUGGGGCCAGAUGCCCUGCUCAUCACUGCCAGUGCCCGUCCACAUCUAGCUGUCAGUCCCUUCUGUGUUCUAUCUGGGUCCCCAGUCUGUCCCAAUGACAGUACCACACCUCUUCAGGUGACCAUAAGCAUAGGAAUGUGGAACAACAGGGUCUUAGGCCCAGCGAAUUCAGUAGCCAACAGCAGAGACUAUCCCUACAGCUGUGAGAUGUGCUUCAGGCAUGGAGCUUCCAACCCAGUCUUUCCGGGCAGAAGGCUGUUCCCAUGUUUCCUGUGACAGAUGCGACCCUAUCUUUGAUCCCUCUUUCCAAAAAAAGUUUCAUGCUCCUUUCUUCAAGCCCUUUGUUCCCAGCAUAGCUCCGUGAGGAAUCUGAAGAAAGGCUGUGGGAAGCUAUGUGGAUAUAAUCCCUGGUUGGGGAAGCAGCUGCCCCUCCAGCUGGGUCCAGGUGGUGAGGAUACAAGAUGUGGCGGGUUGGGCUAGGCUCCACAAAGCCAGGCUCUGUGGGCCGCCAUCAUUAUCAUUGCAGACAGCCUUCGGAACAACGGAAACCUCCACGCCCUCAACUCCCCAGAAGAGGGAGAGCAGGAUGGGUGCACCACCUCCCUUCUCAGGAUGUUUUUAAUAAUGCAGACCAGCCCACACAGGGAAGCAAGACCUUGGGAAGCACACAGCCCUCCCCUGCAGGGCUAUGGUGCAGGGCUAUUCUUCCAGCCGGGUUCCCUAGUUUGUAUGAAUUACAGAGAUCCUCAUUGCUGCGUGUAUAACAGACUUCUGUGUGAUGGUCUGGGUGUGAUGUGUAGUUGAUACUGGGAGGAGUGUGUCUUUCUUGGCUGUAUCUCUGGUGUUGUUUUUGUUCUUGGAUGGACUCUUUGUUCUAUGACAGAGAGUACCUACAGACGCUCCAAGAUAACAGAUCUGGCAGGAGACACUUCCUGGUGCAAUCUAGAUUGCUUCUCAUAGCACUGUAGUCCACGAUCCGAUGGUACAUAUGAUGGCAACAAGGAGUCUCAACUCAGGUGACCCUGUUUUCUGGCACUAUUGUCUCCCUAUCACCCAAGCAAGGGGUUCUUGCUCCCUUCUGGUAUCCACUGCAUAUCUGUGCUCACGUGAGCACUGGGUGAGGGUGAGCUAGCAUGCAUGUCAUGUGUGAUAGGUCACCUAUGAGAUGCCGCACACACAUGAGGUGAUAAACCGGUUAGCAGAUAUAAAAUAGGAGAGCCAGGACUACACAGAGAAACUCUGUCCUGAAAAUCCAAACCAAACCAAACCAAAAAAGGCAGAGGUAGAUGGAGGACACCAGGGAAUCAAAGUCUUCUAAAUACAACAGGACUGGAGCACAUAUGAACUCAGAGAGUGUGGCAGCAUGCACCGGGCCUACAUGGGUCUGGACCAGAAGUGGUCCUAGAGCUGAAAGGAGAAGUGGACUCAAGUCCCCAUCCCUAACUCAGAAGCUAUCUCCAAUUGAUAGCCAUUUGCAAGUAAAUAAUUAGUUUUUUUCUCUAAGAAAAUCUCACUGGGAAAAUAAGCCACUCUUAAGGGUAGGCCCGAUGCCCAAAAGUAGAUAACCACCAGAAAACGAACUCCACAGCAUCAUUGGAGGUUCUUUGUCUCAUAUUAAGUCAGGGCAAUUCUUUUUCUACUGUACAGAUCCUUUGUAUAUAUAUCAUGGCUUCCAGUUUUGGAUUUUUAUAGGAUUCUUGAGUGUGAAUAUGUGUGUCCCUAUAUCUAUAUGUGUUUCUUUUAUUUCUUGGGCUUUUUCUUGUUUGGUUGUUUCAUCCUAUUCCAAUUUGUUUGUUUUUGAUGUAUCUUAGUUUAUUAUUAUUCCUUAGGUGCCUGUUUGCUUUCUAAUGAGAGACAGAAGGGGCAUGGAUCUAGAUGGGAGGUGAGGUGGGGAGGAACUGGAAGAGCAAGGGGAUGGGAAACUGUGGUGGUUUGAGAGAAAAUAGCCCCCAAAGGGAAUGGAACUAUUAGGAGGUGUAGUCUUGUGGGAGGCGGGCUUUGAGGUCUCAUAUAUGCUCAAGCUACACCCAUUGAGUCAGACCACUUCCUGUUGCCUGCAGAUCAAGAUGUAUUAACUCUCAUCUCCUUCUCCAGCACAUGUUUGCCUGCGUGUCCCGCCAUGAUGAUAAUGGGAUGAACCUCUGAAAUGGUCAGCCACACAAUUAAAUGUUUUCCUUUAUAAAAGUUGCUGUGGUCAUGGUGUUUCUUCACAGCAAUAGAUAGCCUAACUAGAUGAAACCAUAAUCAGAAUCUAUUGUAUGAAAAAAAUCUAUUGUCAAUAAUAAUAAUUUAAAAAGACACACUCAGGGCAUUAGUGAGACACACCUUUAUGUGUGUGUGUUUGUGUGUGUGUUUGUGUGUGUGUGUGUGUGUGUGUAUGCUUGCAAAGAUUAGCUGAAUGGAAAAGAUAUUCCUGAACCUGAGUGGCACUAUUCCAUGGGCUGAGGUGUCAGACUGACUAGAGAAGAGAAAAAAGAAAGUUAGCCAAGCAUCAAUGUUCUUCCUCUGAGGUGUAAGUGGUUAGCCUCUGACCUUUGUGCCUUCCUGCCGUGGGGAUGACAUUCUCAUCGUGAGACUCUCCUUACUUAAGUUUCCUAUCAGGUGUUCUGCCCCAGUGAUGAGAAAAGGAAAUAAUACAGAAGGACAGCAGCUUGAGAUCCUAUGGCCUUGGUGCAAGCAGACCGGAGUUCAAAUCCUACUACCAUCAUUUCUUAUUCAUAGCUAUGUCUACUUCUCUUUUUUUCUGUACUAUCAGAUGUGGAUGGACACUCAUGAGGACUGAUCAGAUGUGGAUGGACACUCAUGAGGACUGAUCAGAUGUGGAUGGACACUCAUGAGGACUGAUCAGAUGUGGAUGGACACUCAUGAGGACUGAUCAGAUGUGGAUGGACACUCAUGAGGACUGAUCAGAUGUGGAUGGACACUCAUGAGGAUGGAGUGAGAUUGGGAAGGAACUGGAGUUUUGUGGAUCAUGUCUCAGCUCCUCAGAAUGCAAGGCUGGCAAGGUGGCUCAGUGGGUAAAGGAUGAUCUCUGCCAAGACUGAAGACAGGAGUUCAAUACCUGGGUCUCACUUGAUGGAAACUGAAAUCCACCUCCAGCAAGUUGUCUUCUGCACCAACACACACAGAGAAACACUUACACAUGCCAUGUGUCAGGAUCGUGAGGACUUUCACCUGACCAAUCAAUCUACCCGUCAACAGAUUCAUAGCUGAAUGGACAUAGAAGAUAUUGAAGACUCCAAGAG